GACGAACGCUUGCGGCGUGCUUAACACAUGCAAGUCGAACGGAAAGGCCCUGCUUUUGUGGGGUGCUCGAGUGGCGAACGGGUGAGUAACACGUGAGUAACCUGCCCUUGACUUUGGGAUAACUUCAGGAAACUGGGGCUAAUACCGGAUAGGAGCUCCUGCUGCAUGGUGGGGGUUGGAAAGUUUCGGCGGUUGGGGAUGGACUCGCGGCUUAUCAGCUUGUUGGUGGGGUAGUGGCUUACCAAGGCUUUGACGGGUAGCCGGCCUGAGAGGGUGACCGGCCACAUUGGGACUGAGAUACGGCCCAGACUCCUACGGGAGGCAGCAGUGGGGAAUAUUGCACAAUGGGCGGAAGCCUGAUGCAGCAACGCCGCGUGCGGGAUGACGGCCUUCGGGUUGUAAACCGCUUUCGCCUGUGACGAAGCGUGAGUGACGGUAAUGGGUAAAGAAGCACCGGCUAACUACGUGCCAGCAGCCGCGGUGAUACGUAGGGUGCGAGCGUUGUCCGGAUUUAUUGGGCGUAAAGGGCUCGUAGGUGGUUGAUCGCGUCGGAAGUGUAAUCUUGGGGCUUAACCCUGAGCGUGCUUUCGAUACGGGUUGACUUGAGGAAGGUAGGGGAGAAUGGAAUUCCUGGUGGAGCGGUGGAAUGCGCAGAUAUCAGGAGGAACACCAGUGGCGAAGGCGGUUCUCUGGGCCUUUCCUGACGCUGAGGAGCGAAGGCGUGGGGAGCGAACAGGCUUAGAUGCCCUGGUAGUCCACGCUGUAAACGGUGGGUACUAGGUGUGGGGUCCAUUCCACGGGUUCCGUGCCGUAGCUAACGCUUUAAGUACCCCGCCUGGGGAGUACGGCCGCAAGGCUAAAACUCAAAGGAAUUGACGGGGCCCCGCACAAGCGGCGGAGCAUGCGGAUUAAUUCGAUGCAACGCGUAGAACCUUACCUGGGUUUGACAUGGAUCGGGAGUGCUCAGAGAUGGGUGUGCCUCUUUUGGGGUCGGUUCACAGGUGGUGCAUGGCUGUCGUCAGCUCGUGUCGUGAGAUGUUGGGUUAAGUCCCGCAACGAGCGCAACCCUUGUUCACUGUUGCCAGCACGUUAUGGUGGGGACUCAGUGGAGACCGCCGGGGUCAACUCGGAGGAAGGUGGGGAUGACGUCAAGUCAUCAUGCCCCUUAUGUCCAGGGCUUCACGCAUGCUACAAUGGCUGGUACAGAGAGUGGCGAGCCUGUGAGGGUGAGCGAAUCUCGGAAAGCCGGUCUCAGUUCGGAUUGGGGUCUGCAACUCGACCUCAUGAAGUCGGAGUCGCUAGUAAUCGCAGAUCAGCAACGCUGCGGUGAAUACGUUCCCGGGGC
rnacentral:rRNA from 1 species